rnacentral:rRNA from 1 species
UGGGAACGUGCCCAAAGGUACGGAACAACUCCGGGAAACUGGAGCUAAUACCGUAUGUGCCCGAAAGGGGAAAGAUUCAUCGCCUUUGGAUCGGCCCGCGUCUGAUUAGCUAGUUGGCGGGGUAAUGGCCCACCAAGGCGACGAUCAGUAGCUGGUCUGAGAGGAUGGCCAGCCACAUUGGGACUGAGACACGGCCCAGACUCCUACGGGAGGCAG